rnacentral:miRNA from 1 species
AGGGUGACCAAUUGUCCUGGUUUGCCUGAGACUGAGGGGUUUCCUGUAAUGCUGGAUUGUCAGUGCUGAUACCAGAAAAGUC